GUCAGGAUGGCCGAGCGUCUAAGCGCUGCGUUCAGGUCGCAGUCUCCAUUGGAGGCGUGGGUUCAAAUCCCACUUCUGACA
rnacentral:tRNA from 1 species